UUUUAUGGAGAGUUUGAUCCUGGCUCAGGAUGAACGCUGGCGGCGUGCCUAAUACAUGCAAGUCGAGCGAACAGACGAGGAGCUUGCUCCUCUGACGUUAGCGGCGGACGGGUGAGUAACACGUGGAUAACCUACCUAUAAGACUGGGAUAACUUCGGGAAACCGGAGCUAAUACCGGAUAAUAUAUUGAACCGCAUGGUUCAAUAGUGAAAGACG
rnacentral:rRNA from 1 species